UGACAGAAAGGAGCCAUCAGUAUGACUCACACCACAGUGAACAUUUUCAGUGCCUCUGGGAAAGAACAAUAUUUUUCCAAUAAUCUGAAAGUCGUGAAAAAAGUGCCCUUUAUUGAAGACCGGGGGUGUAAUAAUUUGAAUCGGAGAUAACAUGAUAAUUUCACCUUAAGUUUAUUUUACCAGAGGUAAGGCCUCACUACCUACCCAGAUAUAACUGGAGGGUCAUGGUUGUUGAGUAGCCUUGCUUUCAAAGGAAUGCGGUCUGUCAAACAAAAAUGAAAACUAAAUUUAUCAUUUUUUUAAUCUCAAGGAAAUAAUAAAGGAUCAAUUAAGUACA
ensembl:lncRNA